GUGGGGAAUAUUGGACAAUGGGCGAAAGCCUGAUCCAGCCAUGCCGCGUGUGUGAAGAAGGUCUUCGGAUUGUAAAGCACUUUAAGUUGGGAGGAAGGGUAGUAACCUAAUACGUUGCUACUUUGACGUUACCGACAGAAUAAGCACCGGCUAACUUCGUGCCAGCAGCCGCGGUAAUACGAAGGGUGCAAGCGUUAAUCGGAAUUACUGGGCGUAAAGCGCGCGUAGGUGGUUCAGUAAGUUGGAGGUGAAAUCCCCGGGCUCAACCUGGGAACUGCCUCCAAAACUGCAUGACUAGAGUACGGUAGAGGGUAGUGGAAUUUCCUGUGUAGCGGUGAAAUGCGUAGAUAUAGGAAGGAACACCAGUGGCGAAGGCGACUACCUGGACUGAUACUGACACUGAGGUGCGAAAGCGUGGGGAGCAAACAGGAUUAGAAACCCUGGUAGUCC
rnacentral:rRNA from 1 species